UAGCUAAAGAACCCUACCCCUGAUCCAAAGUCCAGCUCCACCCUCCUCUCUGCUCCCUGCUCCAGACCAGAUUUAUAAGAGCCACAGAUCCUCGGCACUGGUUUGGCACAAGACCUCCCGAGCAGGACAUGUAACCCACAAUAUUUAGCCAGUAUCCAGGCUUUGCUUCUUGUGAGAUUUAAAGAAGAUGAUGGUCUUAAAAUGGUUUUACCACAAGAAAGCUUCCCCUACAAGGAAUAUACCUGUGCCUCACACUGCCAGUCUGAGGAGUAAAAUGAUAGAUCCAGAAGGUUUACCACAGAUCAUGGGGAGACAUAUACAGAUUUGCUAAGAGACGUGCUUUUGAGACUGAUGGAUUGUAAACAUCCUCACCUGAUGAAAGGCCUUGAAAUGGCUAUAACGGUCCGGAUGAACCACGUUGGGUGAGCGAUGAUGAGACACUUCAGGUUCUUCCUCAGUCUGCACAAGCAUCUUUUCAGCCAGCUGAUCCCGGGCAUCUUCCUGCGAGGAGUUGCACCGUUCAGGUACGGCCUGAUGACCUGCAUGUCAAUCCGUUGCUCCUGGUCACCGAUGAUCACUGUUCGCCACAGACGACCUGAUGCGUCUCGCUCUUCCUCACUUUCACCUGGAAGACGUUUGGCGGUGGCCACCGGAGUGUCAUCUGGAUUCAAGACGACACAAAAAGAGUUGCUGCAGUUUUUGACUGAACAGAAAAAAGGCAACAUCACAUGACAUGUGAAUCAGGAUUCAAGCUCGUUGCCAUUGUUAAUGAACUCCAGUGAGUCGGUCUCAUCUGGGGUCUCAAUGUCGUCUACGUUGAUGUCCAGGUCAUCGGGCGUUUCCAGAAAGUCAUCAGAGAGAACCGACCCCUCGCUCUGAUCCAGGGACAAGUUCAUGUCGGGGGCCACCAAGGUGCGACGUUUACGCUGGGCUACUGACUCUCCCACAUUCAGAGAGUGAGGCCACAUGAAGAAUCAACAUCUCCAUCUUCUGGUAGUGGCCUGCAGAGGAAAACAUAAAUACACAACAUGUACAAGUAAAAUGAUAAUAGAAAGAGUAUAAAUUAGAAAUGAAAUUACAUAUAUAGUUCCAUUUUUUGGUCUAUUGGUUUCUUCUUAAGUUAAUGGUUGUUUUGGUAUCUUUAAAAGUCUAGUAAUAAGCAUUAACAUGAUAAAAGACGCUAAAAUAAGGUAUCAGCAGUCAUUUCUGGCAUUUUGCUCGUUGUCUUUUGUUUUUGGAGAAGCUCUGUUGUGAUUUAACUACAGAGUGUCCUUGGAAACAGUUCCAGUAAUUACCACUCCCCUCUGACAUUACAGUAUAAUAAGGCAGCUGAACUCUCAGCGCUGAGCGACGAGGGGACUAGAUUUUAGUAGAUAGCACUCUUAAAAACACACCCACACACAGACAAAGACAAAGACACAGACAUUAACACACCCUAAAACCCCACAAGUAUGGGCUUGCUGAUGGAGCUGUUGGGAUAAUUGCUGUUAUUAUGUUGUCAGUAGCUUUGUAGAGGUAAGUUAAAGACGGCACCAACAGACAUUCGGGGGGGGGGGGAUCAAGGUUUGCAUUCUUAAGUGUUUCUCUAUAGGACUCAUAUAUAAACAGUCUGCAACUAUAUUCAUUAUUAUACAUACACAAACAGAAAUACACGGUUAAGAUUAAGUUAAAAUAGAAGCAAUUAUGAUGUGACAUAUUGUAGGUAAAUAUGUUGUGAAUAAACUUGAUGUCUAUGAAAAA